GUGUGCAAGAACUGUCUACUGUACAAACAUUGACAAGAAGAUUACUCAGGAAGAGCUGAGACUCUUUUUUGGAUCAAUAUGUGGAGAGGUCUAUCGCAUGAGAAUGCUCGGGGACUAUCAGCAUAAAACUCGCAUUG